AUUGCACGCUAGCGGGAUGCUUUACACAUGCAAGUCGAACGAGUGGCGGACGGGUGAGUUAUAUAUCGGCACGUUCCCCGUAGCUGGGGAUAACUACUCGACAGAGUGGCUACUUCCGCAUACUAUUGGCGCGGCCGAUAUCGGAUUAGCUAGUUGGUGGGGUAAAGGCUCACCAAGCCCACUAUCCGUAGCUGGUUUGAGAGGACGACCAGCCAGACUGGGACUGAGACACGGCCCAGACUCCUACGGGAGGCAGCAGUGGGGAAUGUUGGACAAUGGGGGAAACCCUGAUCCAGCCAUGCCGCGUGUAUGAGAAGGCCUUCGGGUUGUAAAGUACUUUUGGCAGAGAAGCGGUAUCUGCAGAAUAAGCACCGGCGAACUACGUGCCAGCAGCCGCGGUAAUUC
rnacentral:rRNA from 1 species